rnacentral:tRNA from 1 species
CCAGGUAGCUUAAAUGGUAAAGAAUCUGCCUUCAAUGCAGCAGACCUGGGUUCAAUCCUUGUGUCUGGA